rfam:Populus trichocarpa isolate Nisqually-1 chromosome 10, whole genome shotgun sequence.
AGGCAGUGACGAUGAAAAUCAUAUACCAUCAAACUUUGAGAGCUCGAAAAAAACUUGAGCUUGUUGAUGCCAUCUAAUAAUUUCUGAGACC